rnacentral:rRNA from 1 species
AUACGGAGGGUGCGAGCGUUAAUCGGAGUUACUGGGCGUAAAGGGCGCGUAGGCGGCCCAUAAAGUCAGACGUGAAAGCCCCGGGCUCAACCUGGGAACUGCGCUUGAUACGUAUGGGCUAGAGUCCGGGAGAGGAUGGUGGAAUUCCCAGUGUAGAGGUGAAAUUCGUAGAUAUUGGGAAGAACACCGGUGGCGAAGGCGGCCAUCUGGACCGGUACUGACGCUAAGGCGCGAAAGCGUGGGGAGCAAACAGGAUUAGAAACCCCAGUAGUCC